CAGCGAUUUUCAAACUUUAUUUGCUGUUUUUCAUAUCACUUCAUAUCAUUAUUUUUUAACAAUUUCUUCCUUAGUACUUCAACUGUCCUUUCGUUCUUAUAUGUCGGCCGGAUGGCCGAGUGUAAGGCUACGGCUUGCCACCCUGGAGGAUCCGGGUUCCAACCGGAUCUCGCGCCUCCAGUUUUGCAGGAGGGGUCCGGGCCCUGCCCGUUGAAACCCAUCCUUCACCAUCCGGUUGACCCCUCCUGCAGGAGUGGACUCCCGGUGGGAAGGCUUGUUUCGCCCCAUCAGAGAAACGACCUACAUGUGCUUGGCGUAAUAUAUCCUUACGCGGACCCAAUGCCAUAAACCCUCACCUAACUAACUCGUUCUUUUAUUUUUCUCUUUUAUGGAUGCUGUGUUCUUUGGACAUGGCAUCCAUGAACAAAAUGAAAGAGAAAGAGUUAAAGGCCAUUUAGAUUUUCUCCAUGUGUUCACUUUUUGAAUAAUAAAAAU
rnacentral:lncRNA from 1 species